rnacentral:rRNA from 1 species
AUUGAACGCUGGCGGCAGGCCUAACCCAUGCAAGUCGAACGAGUGGCGGACGGGUGAGUAAUGUCUGGGAAACUGCCCGAUGGAGGGGGAUAACUACUGGAAAAGGUAGCUAAUACCGCAUACCCUCGGCUCUGCCCAGAUAGGAUUAGCUAGUAGGUGAGGUAACGGCUCACCUUGGCGACGAUCCCUAUCUGGUCUGAUAGGCUGACCAGCCACACUGAAGCGUAGACCCGGUCCAUACUCCUACGGGCGGCAGCAGUGGAGAAUAUUGCACAAUGGGCGAGAGCCGGAUGCAGCCAUGCCGCGUGUAUGAAGAAGGCCUUCGGGUUGUAAAGUACUUUCAGCGAGGAGGCGUUACUCGCAGAAGAAGCACCGGCUAACUCCGUGCCAGCAGCCGCGGUAAUAC